rnacentral:rRNA from 1 species
UACGGGGGGGGCAAGCGUUGUUCGGAAUUACUGGGCGUAAAGGGCUCGUAGGCGGCCAACUAAGUCAGACGUGAAAUCCCUCGGCUUAACCGGGGAACUGCAUCUGAUACUGGAUGGCUUGAGUUCGGGAGAGGGAUGCGGAAUUCCAGGUGUAGCGGUGAAAUGCGUAGAUAUCUGGAGGAACACCGGUGGCGAAGGCGGCAUCCUGGACCGGCACUGACGCUGAGGAGCGAAGGCCAGGGGAGCAAACGGG